CGGGGUAUGGCGCAGUUGGCUAGCGCGCACGCCUGGGGGGCGUGAGGUCACAGGUUCAAGUCCUGUUACUCCGACCA
rnacentral:tRNA from 1 species